GAUGAAGAACGUAGCGAAAUGCGAUACUUGGUGUGAAUUGCAGAAUCCCUUGAACCAUCGAGUCUUUGAACGCAAGUUGCGCCCGAAGCCAUCAGGUUGAGGGCACGUCUGCCUGGGCGUCACAUAUCGUUGCCCAAUGCCUAUUGCAGUGCAAUAGGAAUUUCUAGGGCGAAUGAUGGCUUCCCGUGAGCGUUGUUGCCUCGCGGUUGGUUGAAAAUCGAGUCCUUGGUAGGGUGUGCCAUGGUAGAUGGUGGUCGAGUUAGAACGAUACCGAUCAUGUGCAUGCUCCCCAAAAUAUGGCCUCUAUGACCCACACGCGUCUUUUGACGCUCAUGACGAGACCUCAGGUCAGGCGGGGCUACCCGCUGAAUUUAAGCAUAUCAAUAAGCGGAGGA
rnacentral:misc_RNA from 1 species